CUGAAUGGGAACCACGGGGAGAAAGGAGAGCAUGUGAAGGAGCAGAUUUUGACUCCCAUCAUGCUCCAGGCUGCUCUCCCUCUGUUUAGUUUGCACUGGUGGGUGGUGGGGAGUUGAUGCUGAGAAAGGAAAGCUUUGAAAAAAAUGAGAAUUUGAAAUAUGAAACAAAAUGACAAUUCUGUAAGAUCUAAAAGUAUUUGUUUCAAUAAUCUUAACUACCUGAAAUGUAUAGAACUAAACUGAGAUGCCAUUAAGGAACUCAGCUACCCAGUGGUAAAGCUGGUAAAGCUGGGAGGAUUGAUGGAACAUUGCUAGUAGCCAUUACUGGAGAAGUAACAACCUUUUUUCGUAUUCUCGGCACCAGCUGGACGAUGCCAUCGCCAUCCCCCGAAGAGGGGUACAGCUGAAAGAAGUUCUUUGGAAAAGGAGACAGACAAACAGCCAAGUAAGGAUAUUGAAAC